UAUUGUAUUGCGUUAGACGCGACAUACAUUCCAUGAUACUUUGUUACGGUGUGUGUGUGUGUAAAGACGUAGGACCACAGCAAGAGGACAGAGUCCCCAGGCCAUAGAACUACAGGGGUGCACAGGUGUGAGUGGAUGUGUAAACAGAGCGUGCACUUGACCCCUUUUGAGGACCAGCAACAACUCGUGUCGACAGUUCGGUAAUGAUCCUUCCGCAGGUUCACCUACGGAAA
rnacentral:misc_RNA from 1 species